rnacentral:lncRNA from 1 species
UUCUUUGUUUCUCCAAGAUUCCAUUUCGAUUGUUCCAAAACAAAGGUUGUUUCUUUAACACUCUUUCUAUCAACUUGUUUUGUAAUCAACUUUUUUUCUAUCUUCUUCAUGUUUCUUAUUUUCACACUAAUUUUCUUUUUCUGUUAAGUUCUGAUUAGUAUUCAGAUGAAGUGAUUUUUUUUUUUUCCAAUGUUCUUUUGGCUCGUUAUUUUUUUAUUAUUUUGAACUCUGAUUGUGUAAAAUAGUUGAUUGAAUAUGAUUAAUUUUGCAUGUUUUUGUGAUAUAUCUAUGAUUAUGAGAAGAUUGAGUAGAGUUUGAUUGUGCUGAUGAUAGCUUAAUUUACUGUAAUGUUAUGCAUGUAUCUGUUGACUUUCUUGUUGGUGGUUGAUGAGGGCUAGACAUGCUUGACAUGAUUGUUUGAAAUCUUGUAUUUGUUACUUCUUAGAGUGGAAAAGAUAGUUUUUUUAAGCUCAGUUUA